rnacentral:rRNA from 1 species
GAUGAACGCUAGCUACAGGCUUAACACAUGCAAGUCGAGGGGAAACGCCAUCGAAAGCUUGCUUUUGAUGGGCGUCGACCGGCGCACGGGUGAGUAACGCGUAUCCAACCUGCCCACCACUUGGGGAUAACCUUGCGAAAGUAAGACUAAUACCCAAUGAUAUCUCUAGAAGACAUCUGAAAGAGAUUAAAGAUUUAUCGGUGAUGGAUGGGGAUGCGUCUGAUUAGCUUGUUGGCGGGGUAACGGCCCACCAAGGCAACGAUCAGUAGGGGUUCUGAGAGGAAGGUCCCCCACAUUGGAACUGAGACACGGUCCAAACUCCUACGGGAGGCAGCAGUGAGGAAUAUUGGCCAAUGGACGAGAGUCUGAACCAGCCAAGUAGCGUGCAGGAAGACGGCCCUAUGGGUUGUAAACUGCUUUUAUAAGGGAAUAAAGUGAGUCUCGUGAGACUUUUUGCAUGUACCUUAUGAAUAAGGACCGGCUAAUUCCGUG